UACGAAGGGGGCAAGCGUUGUUCGGAAUUACUGGGCGUAAAGGGCUCGUAGGCGGCCAACUAAGUCGGAUGUGAAAUCCCCAAGCUUAACUUGGGAACUGCAUCCGAUACUGGAUGGCUUGAAUCCGGGAGAGGGAUGCAGAAUUCCAGGUGUAGCGGUGAAAUGCGUAGAUAUCUGGAGGAAUACCGGUGGCGAAGGCGGCAUCCUGGACCGGCAUUGACGCUGAGGAGCGAAAGCUAGGGGAGCAAACGGG
rnacentral:rRNA from 1 species